GGGGUUGUAGCUCAAUAGCAGAGCACUUGUCUCUCAUACAUGACGAAUUGGGUUCAAUCCUCAACACCA
rnacentral:tRNA from 1 species